rnacentral:rRNA from 1 species
UACGUAGGGGGCAAGCGUUAUCCGGAAUCAUUGGGCGUAAAGCGCGUGUAGGCGGUUCUGUAAGUCCGCUCUGAAAGCCCAGGGCUCAACUCUGGGAGGCGGGUGGAUACUACAGAACUGGAGUACGGAAGAGGAGAUUGGAAUUCCUGGUGUAGCGGUGAAAUGCGCAGAUAUCAGGAGGAACACCAACAGCGAAGGCAGAUCUCUGGGACGUUACUGACGCUGAGACGCGAAAGCGUGGGGAGCGAACAGG